rnacentral:tRNA from 1 species
GGGGAUGUGGCUCAAGUGGUAGCGCGCUCGCCUGGCAUGCGUGCGACCCGGGUUCGAUCCUCAGCAGCACCA